GCCUGGGUGGCUUAGUCACUUAAGCAACUGACUUGGGCUCAGGUCAAUGAUCUCACAGUUCAUGGGUUAGAACCCCGUGUCGGGCU
rnacentral:tRNA from 1 species